CCCCUCCCUCCGACAGUCCUACUACUGUUUAAGAUUUGGGUGAAGGAUAAAUCUGAUCCCAGUUUCGAACUUUGUGAUAGUUUCAGUGGACUUGCUAUGUAGGUAAACCCAAGAUACCAGGCAUGGCGUGGAGUGUUAAUUGGGUUUGAGCUUGGUUUUGAAUCGACAUUUUUGAUUGGGAUAUGAAUAUGACCAAAUCUGACUAAAUACCGGUUUGUUAACACCUCUAAUCAUAAUAUCACGAAAAAAACAGGAGUAAGUGAUUUAUUUG
rnacentral:lncRNA from 1 species